GGCGAACGGGUGAGUAACAUAUCGGAACGUAUCCAAUAAUGGGGGAUAACUAAUCGAAAGGUUGGCUAAUACCGCAUACGCCCUACGGGGGAAAGCUAGGGAUCUUCGGACCUGGCGUUAAUGGAGCGGCCGAUAUCUGAUUAGCUAGUUGGUGGGGUAAAGGCCCACCAAGGCGACGAUCAGUAGCUGGUCUGAGAGGACGACCAGCCACACUGGAACUGAGACACGGUCCAGACUCCUACGGGAGGCAGCAGUGGGGAAUUUUGGACAAUGGGCGCAAGCCUGAUCCAGCCAUUCCGCGUGAGUGAAGAAGGCCUUCGGGUUGUAAAGCUCUUUCGCAAGGGAAGAAAACUUAUCCUCUAACAUAGGAUGAGGUUGACGGUACCUUGAUAAGAAGCACCGGCUAACUACGUGCCAGCAGCCGCGGUAAUACGUAGGGUGCGAGCGUUAAUCGGAAUUACUGGGCGUAAAGCGUGCGCAGGCUGUUUUGUAAGUCAGAUGUGAAAUCCCUGAGCUCAACUUAGGAACUGCGUUUGAAACUACAAGACUAGAAUAUGUCAGAGGGGGGUAGAAUUCCACGUGUAGCAGUGAAAUGCGUAGAGAUGUGGAGGAAUACCAAUGGCGAAGGCAGCCCCCUGGGAUAAUAUUGACGCUCAUGCACGAAAGCGUGGGGAGCAAACAGGAUUAGAUACCCUGGUAGUCCACGCCCUAAACGAUGUCUACUAGUUGUUGGUGGAGUAAAAUCCAUGAGUAACGCAGCUAACGCGUGAAGUAGACCGCCUGGGGAGUACGGUCGCAAGAUUAAAACUCAAAUGAAUUGACGGGGGCCCGCACAAGCGGUGGAUUAUGUGGAU
rnacentral:rRNA from 1 species